AAUCAAGCGCGAAAAGGGCGUUUGGUGGAUGCCUUGGCAGUAAGAGGCGAUGAAGGACGUGAUACUCUGCGAUAAGCGUAGGUUAGCCGAGAAUAGGCUUUGACCCUGCGAUUUCCGAAUGGGGGAACCCACUUGACAGUUAUUUAUUGUUACCUUUGGUGAUCAAUAAGUGGCUGAACCAAGUACUUCUUACCUGAAUAAAAUAGGGUUUGAAGAGCAAACCCGGGGAACUGAAACAUCUAAGUACCCGGAGGAAAGGACAUCAAUAGAGACUCCGUUAGUAGCGGCGAGCGAACGCGGACCAGCCGAGCCAUGAUUGUGAUC
rnacentral:rRNA from 1 species